rnacentral:lncRNA from 1 species
GUUAGAAGAAAGUUGCAACAAUCGGAGUGGCCCAAAUUCCCAGUGGUCCAACAUUUCCCACAUUCCAAAAAUUAAAGUAGAUGGAAGCAUAAUUCAGGACUUGCGUAAGUCUUUGUUUCUCCUUCCGUGUCUGAGUCACUUGCAAUUAUUUUGACAUGAAAAAAUGCAAAAUUAUUAGUCAAUUGCAUCUGUGCUAUAAUACUUGAACCAGAUUGUUGUUGCUCUUCUAAUUCUUCAAGUAAGGUAUAUCUAUAUUACUUGUAAGAUAUGAUUUAUUCAUGAAAAUUUAUGUUUUUUU